GUUGAACGAAAGAGUUGCAGCCUCAGAAUCUGCAUGAAAGACAAAGCUAACAGUCCUUCUCGAUCAAAGUAGGGAUGAGCUAAAGCUGCUUUCGCACUUAUUCUUUGUCGUGCUUUGUAUCGAACCAUUGAUUUUAGAAGCUCCCAUCCUAUCCCCCCAUCUAAAUUCAGCAACUCAAAGCCCCUUCGAAGUUCAGGGCCAGCACGUGGCUCUACACUUUUUCUCCAGGCAGCUAAGUCAUAAUCACAUCUUUUUAACUGACGGUUGAACUGUAUGAGGCUACUGUCAGUGUGUAAUCCUGGAAAUGCCAUUUGUAGGAAAAUUAGCCCAGCACUGUAAAUAUCAAAUCUAUCUGGCAAAUUCAUCUGCCACAGCACUGGGGAGAGUAUAGUUGCCACUGGAGGUGAUGGUGCAGACGGAGUUUGUGUGCUCAUGAUGUAUUGCUCUGGUGCAGCAUACCUUGGGUCCAAAAGAAACUCCUUUGGAAUAUAGUUGAUUCCCACUCGCAGAUCUGCAGCAGCUCCAAGAUCAAUUAUCUUGAAUGAACGAGACCCUUCGGAAAAAAUAAUAUUCUGCGGCUUAAUAUCCCUAUGCACUAUCCCAGUUGAAUGAAGACCAUCCAAUGCAAAUAGAAUCUGUCUCAUAAUAGUUUGAAUGAUUCUGU
rnacentral:misc_RNA from 1 species